CCAGACUGGGGAGUAGGGUGAGGGAACUGGAGGUCUCGGGUGGCUGGAGGGGCUGUAAUUAUCACAGUAAAGUUAAGUGUAGAGAAAAGAUGACAAAUUAUAUGGAGAUAUGAUAAGUGGGCUGUGGGGUAUCAGGAGACACCAAACUGUGGACCUGAAACCACAGGGUUUGUGUAGAAACCCCUGAAGAAAGUGCUGUGUGCAGUGGAGACCUCCACAUGGCCAGACAGAUGGAUAGGGACCCCCAUAGGACAGUGUGUGUGUGUGUGUGUGUGUGUGUGUGUGUGUUUUAAAGUCCUGAGGACUGAACCCAGGGUCUCGUGCAUGCUAGGCAAGUGCUCUACCACUGAGGUAUACCCCCAGUUCCCUGGGGUGUUUUCUUUGAGCCCAUCAGUGUCCAGUUCCCAGAUGUAAGAUCAUCUGUGGACAGAGGGUCUGGCAAUGACCAGAAAUAAGAAAAGAGCUCCUUUAGAAGUUGUCCUUAGCUGGGCACAAUGGCGAAUGCCUAUAAUACUAGUGACUCAGGAGGCUGAGGCAGGAAGAUUGCAAGUUUGAGGCCAGCCUAAGCAACUUAGCAAGGCCCAGAGCAACUUAGCAAGACCCUGUCUCAAAAUAAAAAACAAAAAGGGCUGGGAUGUAGUUCAGUGGUAAAGCACUCCUGGAUUCAAUCCUUAAUACCCCCAUUACCACCACCAAAAAAAAAAAAAAAAAAGGAGAUGCCCCAGGAACAUCAGCUGUUCUUUGCCAGCUCUUGUCAGCCAUUUCUCUCUCUCUCAGAGUUCAGAGCCAGCCCCACAGAUACCCAGUUCCAGGGGAGUCCUGAGGAGACCUGCUGGCUCCUUGGAGCCCUCCUCUAACCCAACAUCCCUCAGCCUUCCGACUUCCAGCAGGCAUCAGGAGCAGGAUCGAGAACUGGGUGGUACCCACAUAGCAGGUAUGCAUGGGAUAUGAUGUUGGAGGGCCUGUUUGACCUCCCAAGUGAAGGUUAGGAUUAGAGUUGCCCCUUGGGCUUCCUUGAACAGGAGCAAAGUGGGAAUAAAGUGCAUUUACCCCAGGUACCAAACCAGUUCCUCAGUGAGUGUAUCAGUUAGUAUUUGCUGUGUAACAAACAGUCUAAAAAACAUUAUUAUAAGUAGAUUAAAAUACAAGCGUUUAUUUAGCACACAGCUGACCCAGCUAAACAGUUCUUCUGGUCUUGGCUGAAUUUCCUCUCCUGAACUCACUGAUACAUAUACUUAUUCUGCUUCUGACUUAUUGGAUGGGGCACCUUUAUUCCCUUCCAUGGGGUUUCAUAUCCUCUAGCACACAGGCCUUUCCCAUGGCAACUGGACAGAGACCUCUAAGUGAAGAAGAAAGGACUCUUGAGGCAUAGACUCCAAACUGGCACAGUGUCCUUCCUUCUUCACUCUGUGGGCCUAAGCAAGUUAUAAAGGACAGCCCAGAUUCAUGAGAAAUUGACUCCAUUCUUAGAUGGGAGGCCUAUAGAUUAGCCAGGACCUGGAGGAUGGGGAAAGACAGUACAAAGCUGGUCUGGCUAUUGGCAGAGGAGCCCUUCAGUACUGCCCUACUACCAAGGGGUGUCCAGUUCCCAGAAAGUCACUAAAAUAUCUCAACCCCCAGAGGAAGCAUGUCUAUCAUCAGCCAGGUGCCUGGACACUACACCAGAUCUCAGUACUCCCCCUCAAGGCUGUGUAGCUGACCACCCUGACCUGGCGUGUCUUUCUACUACUUCCCAAACUGUAUUCCAUAUGACACUUGUGCCUGGCCUGCCCUCAGUACCCUGGAACAGCCACAAGGCACAGGGAUAUUUAAAAGUUAGGAGAAACCAUCUUGUGCCCUCCACUCUUGUCACCCCCAAAUAGUCCUGAGCACCUGUUUGCACUUUACAGUGUUAUUUUGUCAUGGAAUGCCUUUUAGGAGGUGCUUCUAUGAACCAUGAAGGCAAAGGCACCUGAUUUCAGUGCAUUGAUGGACACAGGUUCCACGAGAGUCUGUGGUACUGCAUUUAGGGGAGGGGACAUGAGACAUCACUUCUUUUUUAGAAUUUGGGGGGUUUUAGAUAUACAUGACAGUAAAGUGUAUUUUGACAUAUUAUACAUGCAUGGAGCGUAACUUAUUCUAAUUGGGAUCCCCAUUCUUUUUUUUUUUCUUCCUAUACUGGGAAUUGAACUCAGAGGCACUCAACCCCUAAGCCACAUCCCCAGACCUAUUCUGUAUUUUAUUUAGAGACAGGGUCUCACUGAGUUGCUUAGCACCUUGUCAUUGCUGAGGCUGGCUUUGAACUCGUGAUCCUCCUGUUUCAGUUUCCUGAGCUGCUGGGAUUACAAGCAUGUGCCACCACGCCCAGCUUGGGAUCCCAUUCUUGUGGUUGUACAUGAUGUGGAGUUUCAGGCAUCACUUCUGACCUUUGUCAACCUUGGGGUCUGGUGUGUGCAUCCUUAGAGUUCCUGAUGACACUGCCUCUAUGGGCUGUCACCCUGUGUCAGGUCCUCUUCCUAGGGUGGCUUUGCCUUACUCCUGGGAACUGGCCAGCCUCUGGUACCACUUGACUGGUGUGAGCAGUUCUGCUUGAGCCACCCUGCUGUCCCUUGCCCUGAUCCAGUGUUGCUCCUGCUGGGGAGUGUGGGGGACAGCAGUGAGGGGAACAUCUAGGAUUCCACUAGCUAGAGAGAGAAAAAAAGCAGAAACAGGACAGGGAGGUGUUCUGGGUGGGAGAAACAGAAGCAGAAAGAAUAGCCAAUAAUGAUCUUUAAGCUCCUGGAUGCAGUUAGUGGGAAGGAUGACAUCGGUCUUGUGAUAGGACAGACUUGGGGAUAUAGGUCAAGGACUGCAGGCAACAGUUGAGUCUCAGGUCUGAGAGCGAUGACCAAAGGGACUAUAGUCUUCUCCAUGCACAGGUGAUUGGGAGGCAUGUUGCAAUAGGGCUAAUGUGAUUUGAGACACAGGGACCUUUCCCAACCCCUGAGGGUGACAGUCCUUUGGGUUUAUGCUUCUACUUUUGCUACCUGCAGGUGCAGUUUGCAGCUCCAUAUCAGCCCGUGGGCCUGUGUCCCCGACUGUCUCCUUCCAGCCCCUGGCCCGUUCCACCCCCAGGAAAAGCCACUUGCCUGGACCUGCAGUGUCAGCUCCUGCAUCUGCUGGUCCCUCCUCCAUUGCCUUGGCUUCUGUAGAGGAGAUUGGUGACCAUAAUAAGACUGCCAUCUGCUCUAGUGAUGCAGAGGUACCUGCUGAUUCAACAACUACCAGCUUACUGCCCUCCAAAGCGCCUGCCAACUCGGCCCUUGUCGGCUUGGGGCCCUCCAAGUUGCCUACCAGCACAAAGCCCCCUGGUGCAAUGCCCCCUAAAGUGCCCUCCAACCCAGCACCAUCCAAGUUGCCCAUCAACUCAACACGUGCUAGCGCCAUGCCAUCCAAAGUGCCUACUGCUACCAUGAUUCCCACCAAGGUGCCUACCAACACAAUGCCCUCCAACGGGAGCAAAGCCAAGGUGAGUCCUGGCCCCUCUUAGCAGUGCCUCAGGCCCCUUCCCUUUGGGCCCUGUCCUUGGACCCUUCCCAGUCUCCAUCCUGUCUCUAGCCUGGGCAAGUCCAUGACCUCUCCUUAAAGCUGUGGGGACAAGCUGGCAACCUGCCUCAUCCUCUAGGAGGAAUGACUGUCACGAAAACCCCUAAGUAUCAUUGCCUCAAGAGAGUCAGGCAUGGGGCCACCCUACUGGUCAUGUGCUUUAACUCACUGGGACUCAGCCUCCAGUUAAGCUUAGCAACACUGAUCUGUUGAUGAGGAAGCAGUGAGGGGUGGAGCAUGGUGGCCCACUUGCCUUCAUGCCUUGCCGUUUACCACCAGUAUGUCUGGCCUGCCUGUGACCAGGCUUUCCAAACAGCAAUUUCUGGCCAGCCAGCCUGGAGCAGCUGCUCUGACCCAUUAGCCCCCAUAGCUGCCCUCUCCAAAGCCUCGCAUCUAACCCUACUGCUGUUGUCUGCCUCGAGGAAGCAAGUUCCUGAGGCUCCAGGACACUGUAGCUGCCCUGUGAUCCUAAGGCCUCAGCAGUAGGGGCUUGCUGUCAAGGGCUUCCCUGGCAGACCAGUGAGUGGGGAGAGGGCUGCAAUGAGGCCAUCAAUGAAAUGAUACUACAAAGCCUUGGUGCCUUCUUCCCCUUCUGUCCUCUUCCCCACCAAUGGUCGGGUCUCCAAGCGAUGGUGUCUUGCAAGCCAGGAUAUAGGAUGGGAACUGAGAAGUUUGGGCUUGGGCUACUAGUUCAUGCCCUGACUCGAGAACAGGGCCACCCACUUUGUCUGGCUUAUCUCCCUCCCAUACCCAUCCCCUUCCAGCACUUUCCUUUCUUUCCCAGGAGACCCCAGGGACUCCAGCAACCACAGUCACCAUUGAAGGCAGCUCUCCUUGGAGGGGUAGCAGCUCUGGGAACUUGCGCUCUGAGGCCGAGCUGAGCAAGCCUGGUACCCUGGUAUCGAGGGUCGAUAGCCAGCCAUUUUCCGGCUGUUCUGAAGAUCUCGCUAUCAGCAAUUCUCUGGUCCUGGAGUCCAGCCAAGGCCCAGAGGAAAAUGAGUACAUGUCCUUUGCUAUCCAUGUGGCUGAGGGUCCCAGUGCUGACCUCCUGGAUGGCAGCCCUGAACGACCUGAGGCCUCAGAGCCCCAGGAGGAGGAAGAGGAGGAGAUGUGCUCAACAGCACCAGGGGCUCUGUGGUGGCUGGGGACUGCCGCAGCCAGCGCGCUCCUGGCGGUGCUCCUGGUAGUGCUGUACCGGCGGCGCCCACUGCAGUGAAACCUCCAAUGCCCACCACGUUCCCAUGGUGCCCUUUCCCCAGGCUGGCAGGGGCCGGGUCAAGCAGGGGACCUCGAGAACUAUGGGCCUGAUGGAGGAGUGAGUUGUGAGGACAGCGUUUUCUGUCCUAGCUCUUGUCCUCUGCUUGUCCCUCACCAUCCUUGGCUUUCCAGGCUCUAAGCGGCCCCCAGUGCUUCAGACCUUGCCUACCUGGUAGUCUCCCUGUGUGCUCCUAAGGAGGUCCCCUCCACCAGGCUUUGUCCCCCUUUGCCCAAGCCUGAAGAUCAGGAGAUGCCCCUCAUUCUGCCCAGGUCCCCUGAGGCCAAAACAGGUGUUCUGGGUGGGGAAUUCCCACAAGACCUUGUUCCCCGCCCAGCAGCUCAGCAUCCUGACAGCAGCAAGGUGCCUAGUAUUCAGGGAGCCAGCUGCUUUGGGUUCCCUGUCUCUCUAGUCCCCCUCUAUUGGCCAGGCCACCCUGGAAGAAGGUCCAGUUCCAGUGGACCCAGGGAAGCCAGAAGCAGCCACUAGACAGGAGGAAGACCCUUGGAGCCUUUCUCCAGUCCCCUUACCUCCACCUCUGUCCUCCAUUCUCUUUGGCUUCCUACAUGGGUUGGGGAAGGGACCUGCCUAGUGGUCAGAAUUCAAGCCAGGUUCAGAUUUCAGCUCUUCCCUUUCUGGGCUGUGUGACUUUGGCAGAUGUUCAGGCUCUCUGGUCUGGUUUCCCCACGUGGACAGUGAGCUUCUAGCUCAUCCUUCAUGGACAUGGCAUACAGGAUACGGCAUCCCUCCUGUCUAACCUGGUAGAGCUGAGGGCUUGAGAGGCAGAGUGCACAGCAACAAGGGUGCGCUGUGCAGUGAGGGCAGGCUCGGGCUGUAUCCUGCUCAUCAUCUCACUAGCUCUUUAAUCCCAGGCAAGAUAUUAACCUCUGUGUGCCUCACUUUUCUCACCUGUUAAAUGGGAGUGAAAUGUCUACACACACACACACAUACACAUAUGUAUGUACGUGUGUGUAUAUUCUAGUGUUGUCCUGGGGAUUAAAUUAGUUUAUCUAUGUAAAUCUUAGACUGAAUCCUGUCAUUUCCUAAGGACUGGAUACAUGUUAUUAUUGCUAAUUAAAUGGGCAGUGAGUAGAGCACUUGGCUAUACCUUUAGAGGUAAACCCAGACCCUGCUACCUUCUCCUUUCUUAUAUCUUCCUCUUAACUUCAUCUAGUACAUUUGCGAGUUGUUGGGGAGGGAGGUCUAUCCAGUGGGCAGCUGUUCUCCCCAUCUCCAGCAGCCAGGGGUGUUCCACCACCUCCCUGGGUGGGAAGAUAGCUAUUCUCUUCACACAUUGAGGUGCACUGGUGGGUAUCCUCUUGGGUUCUUUUCAGGUGGCCUUUGCUGGACAAGUGGUAGGCACAGGAGCCUUCUCUAUUUCUGGGCUCUUCAAGGGGCAAGAACUAGAGCCCUUGGAGAAAUCAGGGGUGUGGCUUGUUAUGUAAAGCUCGAGGCAGCUUUACCCUACACCGCCCUAGGGAACUUCCGCAACCUAAUGACCUCUACUUCUGAAUUUCAGCCCCCACUCUAAACCCAACAGCCUCUAACUUGAAUCCAGGUGUGGUCUGUCCCCAAGCUAUCUAUACCAGUACUUAUCAAUCCCUUGCUCUUAACCAACCACUGUAUCCCCCACCUGUAUCCCCAGGUGCCAGCCAGUCAGUUUGUGCACAGUCCUAGUUUUAAUGUGCUAGCCUCCCAGGGUACUUUGGGGAAAAAAAAACAAAAAAAACUCACUGGGUGGAGUGGCCCAUGCCUGUAAUCCCAGCAGUUCAGGAGGACCAAAUGUUCAAGGCCAGCCUCAGCAAUUUAGGGAGAACCUAAAUAACUUAGCAAGGCCCCAUCUUUUUAAAGAAUUAAAAAGGGCAUAAAAGGAGACAUAAAACUGGAAUGUAGUUCAGUAGUGAAGCACCUCUGGAUUCAAUCUCCAGCACCCCCUGAAAAGAAAAAAAAAAAAAAUUGGCUCAAGAAGGCAACACGUAGUCCCAGAGAAUCACUCACUCAACUGGGGGAUUUCUUUUUGUUGGUGGUGGUGCCAGGGAUUGAACUCAGGGGUGCUUAACCACUGAGCCACAUCCUCAGCUCUUUUUAUUUUUUUAUUUUGAGACAGGGUCUCCCUAAAUUGCUUAGGGCCUGUUAAGUUGCUGAGGCUGGCUUUGAACUUAAUAUCCACCUGCUUUGGCCUCCUGAGCCACUGGGAUUAUAAGUGCACCACUGUGCCCAGUCAACUGGUACAAUUUCAACUACAGAAACCAGUCACUGUAGGCGAUAUAUUGGAUCAGGUGUGUGGGAAGUGUUCAGGGCCUUCCCAGCACAUUUCAGACUAUACCGCCUCAAAUCCCUGACUUGGCCUGCACUUAACACUAUCCCCAUCUCAGCUAUUAUCAAUCUGAAGACUUAAAUGCCACCUUCAGGCAGAAAUGGGAAUUAGAGUCCAGUCUCAAGAAUCCUGUUCUGGGUUGUGACUUUCAGCUGCAGGAAGGUUUACAAAGGAGUGUGAACUAGGAAGUUCACCUUCACAGCUGUGGCCCAGACAAGGUAGAGGCUGGAACACAAGGAAGGGAGGAAGGACCUCCACUCGCAGACGGGACUAGGGGACCCUUGAGGUCAAGGCUGGGUAGUCCUGGAGGGACCAAUGCCCUCCUAAGUGCCCGGGGGCAGACCCACCUGCAGCAGAACCUCUGUCCACGUUCUUUCCCUGGCUGAAGCAUUUCCUCAAAGCUCUGGGACUGUUGUGGUUUCUGUCUCUCAGGGAAGUACCCAUGGACUUUAACCUAACAAAGCCAGAACAGUGCCACUCCUUCACUUCUCUUGCUGGCUACCCUCAGGUUUAGGGAGCUUCUUAGUCAAGGAUGAGGGAGAUGCCCUUUACCCUGCCAGGUCUCAGAUUAUUAAUACCGUCUUUUAGAAAACAUUUAUUAUGGCCAGCUUUCAGACAAAUGCAAAAGUAGAGAGACCAGAAUAACACACUGCCCAUCUCCUGGCUUUAAUAUCUUGGCCAUCUUAUUCAUCCCUGCCUGUUGCCCCCUUCCUUCCUCUUUUCUUUGGUAUGGGGGGGGCAUUGAUUUCAGGGGCACUUUACCACUGAGCUACAUCCCUAGACCUUUUUAUUUUUUAUUUCAGGGUCUCACUGAGUUGCUCAGGCUGGCUUUGAAUUUGCCAUCCUCCUGUCUGCUCCUUCCAAAUUGCUGCAAUUACAUCUAUGCACCAAUGCACCCGGCUGCCCCCUUUUUUGAGUACAGGUUCUUUGUAUAAGAGUGUGAAGGGUUCAGAAAGCCAAGGGAAAGACAUAAGCUGGAAGGAUUUUAAGAUCAUCUAUUUUCUCCCAGGGCAGCAUUAGGUAACAAUGAAGCAUCCACGUUGUGGUCUGUUGGCCUCUAUAGGUGACGUCCUUCUUGAACCAGUUCAAAGCAUGAGCAGCACUGGACUCCAUCUUAGGAGGAGGGGACUGCAAGCGUCCUUCCAUUGUCAAGCUCCUUGGAGGUGCCUGCUAUUGCUCCUGUCUCAGAGAAGUGACAACACAUGAGACAUAUACCACAUGGCACAGCCCUUCCAACCAGCAGAAGUCCUCAUGCUAGGCAAUGUUCAAAUUCCACAGUCCUAGGAAUGGAGUCCUUGGGCCUUGAGGUUCCACACUUGCCAUGGGUGCACUGUCAUGCGCCUAAAGGCCAAGACCCACUUCCCCCUGGGAAGGGAGAUGAGGGGUCUUUGGUCUGAAAUGUCUGUGCUGGGAUUGAUACCGCUCCACAGAGGAUAGUCACAUGCUCCUUGCUUUCUUAGUUUUUUUUUCCUUUAUCCCAGGGCUAAGAGGUCCACAGGGGGUUCUGGGUGUGGUCACUGUGAACAUUCUUCACUUGGCUGCUGCUAACAACAAAUAAUAAUAAAGGUCGCCACUAAUGUCUGAUUUUAAUUGCGUGCUAGACACUGUGCCAAGAGCUACACAUAUAUUAGUUCAUUUAAUCCUCACAAUGACCCUAGGAAAGAGACACCAUUAUGGAUCCAAUUUAUAGCUGGUUUACAAGACUGGGAGGGAAGAAAGACAAGAGGGACAAUGACUCCUAGGCCCCAGAGCUAGAUGCUUCUUACGUCUAUGAACUUCAACUCACCUGAUAUCUGGAACAAAGUAAACCAUUUAAAGUGAGAUCAUCACACCAUCACAUCACUGCCCAGUAUGCCAAAAUCUGCCACCUACUAUAAUAGUAUAGUAACACUAGGUCUAUAAUUAAAAUAAUCUCAGGGGUGUCCUAAUGAUACGAUUAUAAUCAUUUUGUGUGUGCCCAGGCUCAAAGCCCUGGGGCUGGGUGAGGUGAGGCUGGUGCCAUAAGAAAACUAGAAUGUUAGUCUUCAUGAAGCCAGUUCGAUUUAGCAGACAUCGUUUAAGAGUCAUUUGUGCCAGGUCCAAGGCCUCUGAGGGUGCCUUCGAGUGGUUGGGGGUGUUCAUAAUGUGUGAUACAGGCAAAAAGGCUUCCAUAUCAUUCUUUCAUAUAAUUUUACAGCAAAUAUUUAUUUUGUACCCACUGUGAGCUAAACAUUAUAAUAGGUCUUGAUGACAUAGAUAAUAAAGACCUCUCCCUAAAAGUCCUCUCCCACCCCCCACUGUCUCUAACCCAGUAGUAGUUCAAUGGAGUGUCUCUGGAGCAUGGCAGGGGCCAGUGAGGGGGAAGGACAAGUAUUGUUUUGAUCUGUUUUUGACUACUGAGAAUUAUAACUAAAUUUGGAGCGGGGCGAGAAACAGUAUGAGAGAUAACAUUAAAUAUUCAUGAAAAUGUGAAUAUGUUGGAGGAAUGUAGGUUGGUGUUAUGGCCUGAACAUAUAUGUCCCUGCAAAAUUCAUAAGUUGGAACCUAACCCCAAGGUGAUGGUAUUAGGAGGUGAGUCCUUUGGGAAGUGAUUAGGUCAUGAGGGCUCCACCUUCAGGAAUGGGAUUCAUGCCCCUAAGAGGACAGAGGGAGCUGGUAUGGUGGUGAACACAUGUAAUCCCAGCAACUUGGGAGGUUGAGGCAGGAGGAUCACAAAUUCGAGGCCAGCUUCAUCAACUUGGUGAGACCCCAUUUCAAAAUACAAAGUGCUAGGGAUAUUGCUCAGGGUAGAGCACUCCUGGGUUCGAUAACCAGUACUGGAAAAAGAGAGGGUGAAAGGCUUGAAAGCCCUCUGUUCCUUCCACCAUGUGAGGACAGAGAAGUCCAUAUGAGAAAGCAGCAACCAUAUCUUUGAAGCUGAGACUGGACCUUUAUUAGACACUGAAUUUGUUGGUGCCUUGAUCUUGUACUUCCAAAUCUCUAAAAUGGAAAUUUCAAUGAUUUCUAAAUUACCUAAUAAAAGGCAUCUUGUAAUAGCAGCUUGCAUGAACUAAGCCAGUUGGUGAUACCUUACUGGAAAACUGGCAGUUGUCUACUAGAGCCUAAUAUAGGCCUAAACCUGUGACCCAGCAAUUCCACUCCUGGGUGUGUUCACAACAGAAACAAGAGUGCAUGUCCACAAAGAUGUGUGCAAGAAUGCUUCUCAGAUGCUCAGGUCCCUUGUGCAGUAUUUGCACAUCUCUGCACAUUCUCCCAUAUAGUUCAAAACAUCUUGAAAUUGCUGAGCAAAUGACACUCGCCUGUAAUGCCAGUGACUUGGGAGGCUGAUGCAAGAGAAUGGCAAGUUCAAGGCCAGUCUCAGCAAUUUAGUGAUGUCCUAAGCAACUCAUCUCAAAAAAUAAAAAGGGCUGGGGAUGUAGCUCAGUGGCAAAGAGCCUCUGGAUUCAAUCCCUAGACUCCCCCCCCCACCAAAAACAAACAAACAAACAAAAACUUCUAACCAUCACACUGAUCACACUGUCCAUAAUAUCUCCAAAAUAAGAAAAACCCAAAUUGUCUAUCCUCAGGAAAAUGGAUGUUGUAAUAAAGUCACACAGUAGAAUACUAUUAUAUAAAUGAAGACAUUGCAACAUAGAACAUGGAUGAAUCUCCUGGACCUGAUGCUGAGCCAGAGUUAGUGUACACCAAAAAGCAAAUUUUAUUUAUCUUAAAUAAACAAAGCUGAUUUAUGAUGUUAAAAGUCAGGAGAAAGAUGAACUCUGGUAGGGAUGUAGCUGGGAAGAAACAUUCUGGGGUGUUGGUCUACCUCCUGAUCCAUGUGUUGAUUUCAUGAGUAUUUUUAGUUUGUGUCCAGUACCCUGUGGGAGAUGUGAAAGUUGGGGAUGGGGAUAUGGCUCGAGCGGUAACACACUCGCCUGGCAUGCGCCGGGUGCUUGGUUUGAUCCUCAGCACCACAUAAAAAUAAAAUAAAGAUGUUGUGUCCACUGAAAACUGAAAAAUAAAUAUUAAAAAUAAUUCUCUCUCUCUCUCCUCUCUCUUAAAAAAAUAAAGAAAAUAAACAAAGAUCCUCCAAAUGAGGACUAAAAGCCAUUUAAUCAGAGCUUGAGAGGCAGUCAGCCAUCAUAAUUUGCAUGUGACAGGGACUCUAAGGCAGGCAGGGAUGCGAAACUCCAUAGUAGGAAAAAGGGAAGGUUCAGGUGUGCCGUGAUUGGAUGAUGUUGGUCUUGAGCUGUAAGAGGUGGAGAGGUGGUUGGAGGUUGGGAAGGAACGGUGAUCAUUAGCUAAAUUCUCCACCCCACCCCCAUACUGGGCAUUGAACCCAGGGGCACUUCAUACUGAGCUAUAUCCACAUUCUUUUUAUUUUUUUUUAUGUUGACGCAGGGUCUAAGUUGCUGAGGCUGGUUUUAAAUUUGCUUGCGAUCCUUUUGCCUCAGCUCUCGAAUUGCUUGGAUUACAAGUGUGUGCCACUGUGCCCAGCUCACUGGCCAAGUUUUGACUGUUCUGAGCUCAUUGCUGCACAGAUGGAAGUUUGGCUUCUGGGGCUUCCCAGGCUGCUUGCUACAAGAGUUUUAUUCACAUCCAAAUUCCUUUAUCAUAUAUAGUCAGUCAUUUUCUAUUUGCAUAUUCAGUCUCUCAGAGGGAAGGGCACGGGCUUUGAGGGAGCUGCCAUGCAGCACUGAUGGGAGGCACAUUCGCACUUCCUCCAGCUUCCCAUCCAUGUCUGGGGUCAGAGGUGCCUGCCUGUGUGAGGGAGUCCAUGGCCGGGGGGCUCUGCUCCCAGCUGUGGUGCAGCUGCUACACCAACCAAGGUUCUCUUUUUUUCUUCAAGGCUGGCUUUUUAAAGCUCAACCCCUACAGAAAGGUUUCUUUGAUUAGAUCCCUCUGGUUUUAAUAAGUGGGCUUCUUAAAUUCCCAUGGCUCACCUCAAACCCUGCUUUUAUGUGUAAAUUCUGACCUCCUUGCCUACAUUUUAAAAAACAUAAACCAGGCACCCUGGUGAUGCAGGCCUGUAAUCUCAGUGACUCUGAGGAGGACUGCGCAGGCUCAAGGCCAGGCUCAGCAAUUUAGCUAGAUUGUGUCUCAAAAUAAAAAGGGGCUGGGGAUGUGGGGAUAUAGAUCAGUGGUAGAGCACUCUUGGGUUCAAUCAUCAAUAUUGCAAAACAACAACAACAAAAUCCUAUACUGAUUACUUUUAAUUACUUUCUCAGUGAGUUUCUUCUUCCCCCGCCACUCAGCUACAUACCAGCCCUCACUUUUUUUUUUACUUUUUUAUUUUUGAGACAGGGUCUUACUAAGUUAUUUAGGGCCUUGCUAGGUUGCUGAGAUUGGCCUUGAACUUGUGAUCCUCCUGCCUCAGCCUUCCAAAUCACUGGGAUUACAGGCCUGGGCAACUGCACUGGGUUGAUUUAUCUCUUUCUUUCUCUCUCACUCUCUCUUUCUUUCCUCCCUCCCCUUUUUCUUUCCUUCUUUCCUUCUUCUCUUUUUGUGAUGUCAGGGAUUGAACAUAAGGUUUGUGCGUGUUAGGCAAAUGCUCUUCCCAGUGAUGGUUUGUGUGUGGUAUGUAACUGGGGAGAGAACCCUGGGGUGUUCUACCAUGUCCUGUGAAGGACAUGAAGAAUAAAUUCCAGGGUGUUAGAUAUGAAAAAUGACAACCCCCAUAAUACUGUGGCCUGGGAAGAGGGCAUGAGGAAGAAGGCAACACAUUGAUAACAUUGAUCCUUUCCCAAUACAUUCUUUCCCAGUGACAAGACAAGCCCUGGGGAGGAGAUAUCCAUCAAGCCUAGAAUGAUGGUCUCUAAUAAAUCCUUUCUAGAUACUGACUGUUGACCCCCGACCCUCCAUCUUGCCCAGUAAAAACAGAUCUCAAAUUCCUGGGUGCCCAAAUUGACACGCUAACUAAUCAAGUCACUUCUCAGUAUAACCUAUAACAGACUCCCCCUUUGGCUAGUGGCUCAUUUUCCGUUAGGAAAGUGGGUCUAUCAUAGGCACGACUUUAUUGCUGAAUAAAGGCUGUGCUGAUCCAUGAAGUUUGCACCCGGCUCGUUCCUUUUGGAGCUAACAUUUUGGUUCCCUGAUCAGGAAAUGGGAGAAAGGGUAAUAUUUUGUUCUUCCCUGUACCCCCAAAACCCAUUCCCUCCCCCCACAGUCAAAGUUAACCAACUAAUGAGGCCCUGAAAGUGACCACUGAACAUCUGGCACUUCCAUGGCUUUCUGAAAGUCAGGGGGACCUCCAAGCUGUGGCUCAUAGGAGCUACAGCUGAAUGCCCAAACUGACUGUGUCCCCCCAACUCUGUAGAACAUAGGCCCUUCACGCCCUUUGCAGUCCACUUUAGCUAAGCAACUGCCAGCUUUUUUGCGGGAGAAAUUUGGUGCUUGGGACAGAGGAGGGCUUAAGGCAGCUGGCCGGGGCCACUCUCUGGUGCUGCACAAAGGUCUUAUGUCUCAAAUCUGGUCCCGACAGCCCUCAGGGGUACCAAAUAUCGACCACCUGCUAGAUUUUUGUGGCUUUAUGCCACAAGAACAAUGCAAGAUUUGUAUCAAGUCCUUUAUUGGCAUUGAAGGUGUCCUGUUUCUACUUCCUCCCCUCCCCAAUCUUCCCUUCCCUUACACACCCAGCAAACCUCAGGGAUCUGAGAUCUCUUUGCCAUUUUGUUCCUGCAUCCAACACCAGCUUUUAAAUUCUCCAGAGAGGUAAGACUCAGUCCAGCUGGUCUCCAGCAGAUAGGUACCCGCCCUUUAGCUAGCUAGGACCCAGGGGGUCCCCUACCAGUGAGAUUGGUGUAAAGAUGUUUCCCUAGUCCCCAGUGGGAGAAGUCCACUCUGAUGACUGGCACACCUCUGACAUAAGAGUUCAGAGGACGCUUUGCUUUCAGUCGUCACUUCUGUCCAGCCUCUCCAAAUAUGGAAGUCAUUCGGUCAGUUCCCAGAGACAACCUCUUGGGCUGUCUCUUUAUCAAUGUUAUGACCCUCUACUCCCAAACUGACCUCAAAAUUGAACACCUCAUUAGACUCAGCACUCAGAUUUGGCCACAGUACAAAUUAGAUAAUCAGUGCCCAUGGCCCAAGUACAAAACUCUUUUUUUUUUUUUUAAUAUUUAUUUAUUUAUUUUUCGGUGGACACAACAUCUUUGUUUGUAUGUGGUGCUCAGGAUCGAACCUGGGCCGCACGCAUGCCAGGCGAGCGCGCUACCACUUGAGCCACAUCUCCAGCCCCAAGUACAAAACUCUUGAUAAAGAAAUUCUCCAGGCUUUGCAAAAAUAUUUAAUACAGAUUGGCAGGUGGUUUGAGGUUCCAUACCUUCAACCUUUCUUUUUCCUUCACUCAAUUACCAAAUAUACCACCCUAGACUUUCAUACUGCUGCUGAUACUCUCUUUCUCCCUAUGCAAUUUAUCAGCGGGUCUGCAUCUGAUACCCAUAAAAAAACAGAGAAGGGCGCCAAGGCUUCCCAGAAUCAAUUUCUAGAUCCUGCUUUUAAGACCUUUAACAAUAGGGAAGAUGAGGCCAAACAGGAGAAAGAAAAACAUCUUAAAACUAAAUAUCAGCUCCUAGCCUCAGCCAUCCAUCGCCCUAAAAAAAGCCAUUGCUACUCACGGCCCCUCCAGACCCUCUAAUAUACCUUUGGGCCCCAUUUCUGAUGUGGAUGGACUGGACCUUGGACAAAAACCCAAGGCUGCUCACCAAGCCANUCUGAAACGUCUGUGCUGGGAUUGAUACCGCUCCACAGAGGAUAGUCACAUGCUCCUUGCUUUCUUAGUUUUUUUUCCUUUAUCCCAGGGCUAAGAGGUCCACAGGGGGUUCUGGGUGUGGUCACUGUGAACAUUCUUCACUUGGCUGCUGCUAACAACAAAUAAUAAUAAAGGUCGCCACUAAUGUCUGAUUUUAAUUGCGUGCUAGACACUGUGCCAAGAGCUACACAUAUAUUAGUUCAUUUAAUCCUCACAAUGACCCUAGGAAAGAGACACCAUUAUGGAUCCAAUUUAUAGCUGGUUUACAAGACUGGGAGGGAAGAAAGACAAGAGGGACAAUGACUCCUAGGCCCCAGAGCUAGAUGCUUCUUACGUCUAUGAACUUCAACUCACCUGAUAUCUGGAACAAAGUAAACCAUUUAAAGUGAGAUCAUCACACCAUCACAUCACUGCCCAGUAUGCCAAAAUCUGCCACCUACUAUAAUAGUAUAGUAACACUAGGUCUAUAAUUAAAAUAAUCUCAGGGGUGUCCUAAUGAUACGAUUAUAAUCAUUUUGUGUGUGCCCAGGCUCAAAGCCCUGGGGCUGGGUGAGGUGAGGCUGGUGCCAUAAGAAAACUAGAAUGUUAGUCUUCAUGAAGCCAGUUCGAUUUAGCAGACAUCGUUUAAGAGUCAUUUGUGCCAGGUCCAAGGCCUCUGAGGGUGCCUUCGAGUGGUUGGGGGUGUUCAUAAUGUGUGAUACAGGCAAAAAGGCUUCCAUAUCAUUCUUUCAUAUAAUUUUACAGCAAAUAUUUAUUUUGUACCCACUGUGAGCUAAACAUUAUAAUAGGUCUUGAUGACAUAGAUAAUAAAGACCUCUCCCUAAAAGUCCUCUCCCACCCCCCACUGUCUCUAACCCAGUAGUAGUUCAAUGGAGUGUCUCUGGAGCAUGGCAGGGGCCAGUGAGGGGGAAGGACAAGUAUUGUUUUGAUCUGUUUUUGACUACUGAGAAUUAUAACUAAAUUUGGAGCGGGGCGAGAAACAGUAUGAGAGAUAACAUUAAAUAUUCAUGAAAAUGUGAAUAUGUUGGAGGAAUGUAGGUUGGUGUUAUGGCCUGAACAUAUAUGUCCCUGCAAAAUUCAUAAGUUGGAGGAGAGUCCUUUGGGAAGUGAUUAGGUCAUGAGGGCUCCACCUUCAGGAAUGGGAUUCAUGCCCCUAAGAGGACAGAGGGAGCUGGUAUGGUGGUGAACACAUGUAAUCCCAGCAACUUGGGAGGUUGAGGCAGGAGGAUCACAAAUUCGAGGCCAGCUUCAUCAACUUGGUGAGACCCCAUUUCAAAAUACAAAGUGCUAGGGAUAUUGCUCAGGGUAGAGCACUCCUGGGUUUGAUAACCAGUACUGGAAAAAGAGAGGGUGAAAGGCUUGAAAGCCCUCUGUUCCUUCCACCAUGUGAGGACAGAGAAGUCCAUAUGAGAAAGCAGCAACCAUAUCUUUGAAGCUGAGACUGGACCUUUAUUAGACACUGAAUUUGUUGGUGCCUUGAUCUUGUACUUCCAAAUCUCUAAAAUGGAAAUUUCAAUGAUUUCUAAAUUACCUAAUAAAAGGCAUCUUGUAAUAGCAGCUUGCAUGAACUAAGCCAGUUGGUGAUACCUUACUGGAAAACUGGCAGUUGUCUACUAGAGCCUAAUAUAGGCCUAAACCUGUGACCCAGCAAUUCCACUCCUGGGUGUGUUCACAACAGAAACAAGAGUGCAUGUCCACAAAGAUGUGUGCAAGAAUGCUUCUCAGAUGCUCAGGUCCCUUGUGCAGUAUUUGCACAUCUCUGCACAUUCUCCCAUAUAGUUCAAAACAUCUUGAAAUUGCUGAGCAAAUGACACUCGCCUGUAAUGCCAGUGACUUGGGAGGCUGAUGCAAGAGAAUGGCAAGUUCAAGGCCAGUCUCAGCAAUUUAGUGAUGUCCUAAGCAACUCAUCUCAAAAAAUAAAAAGGGCUGGGGAUGUAGCUCAGUGGCAAAGAGCCUCUGGAUUCAAUCCCUAGACUGAUGCUGAGCCGGAGUUAGUGUAUACCAAAAAGCAAAUUUUAUUUAUCUUAAAUAAACAAAGCUGAUUUAUGAUGUUAAAAGUCAGGAGAAAGAUGAACUCUGGUAGGGAUGUAGCUGGGAAGAAACAUUCUGGGGUGUUGGUCUACCUCCUGAUCCAUGUGUUGAUUUCAUGAGUAUUUUUAGUUUGUGUCCAGUACCCUGUGGGAGAUGUGAAAGUUGGGGAUGGGGAUAUGGCUCGAGCGGUAACACACUCGCCUGGCAUGCGCCGGGUGCUUGGUUUGAUCCUCAGCACCACAUAAAAAUAAAAUAAAGAUGUUGUGUCCACUGAAAACU
rnacentral:lncRNA from 1 species